rnacentral:misc_RNA from 1 species
GAUGUAGAACGUAGCGAAAUGCGAUAAGUAAUGUGAAUUGCAGAAUUCAGUGAAUCAUCGAAUCUUUGAACGCACAUUGCGCCCAUUAGUAUUCUAGUGGGCAUGCCUGUUCGAGCGUCAUUAAGUCCACUUAAGCCCUGCUUAGUGUUGGGAGACUGCUCCAGCGGUGCUACCCUGUAGCUACCCUGCAGCUCCUCAAAGACAGCGGCGGAGUUGUGGUAUCCUCUGAGCUUAGUAACUUGUUCUAGCUUUCGAGUACACCACUUCCCCUGCCGUAAAACCCUUAAUUUUUAAUGGUUGACCUCGGAUCAGGUAGGAAUACCCGCUGAACUUAAGCAUAUCAAUAAGCGGAGGA